rnacentral:lncRNA from 1 species
GAGAGACCGGUUCCCGAGAGCAACACUUUCGGGACUUAGCCAAAUUUCGGCUUCUCUCGCUGGGCCAACGUUCGGGAAUCGGUCCCUGCCUGCCAGGGACCGGUCUCAACAGAGACCCCCGCAGCCCAGCCCGAUGGGACCGGUCCCUCCCUGCCAGGGACCGGUCCCCGAGAGCAUUUCUGCUCCAGUGCAGCUUUUGCACUGGUGCUCUCGCGGACACCUCCUCAAUGCACCUCAUGCAUUGCGGUCACCUUCGGACUUUCCGAAGCUCGUACGCUCGACAAUCAGUCGAUUCUUGACGAAGUCUAAUCCUCGGGUUUCGAGAAUUCACUUCCCUUACAUACUCACUGCAAAGUUAUACUGUUAGGGUGCAACUGAGUAGUCUAAUGUUGUUCCGAUUUUCGUUCUUGUGAACGUUGACAUCGAUUCAUUCCAAAUUCACACUCUCGGGGCAUAAUAGAGCAUCUCGGGGCAUAAUAGAGCAAUAUAAUAAGGUUUUACUCUUUGUUCGAUAGAAUGAGAAAAAGUACUCCUUACAAAGUUAUACUGUUAAGGCGCUACUGAAUAGUCUAAUGUUGUUCCGGUUUUGAUUCUUGUGAAAGUUGACAUCGAUUUGUUCCAAAUUUACACUCUCGGGGCAUAAUAGACCAAUAUAAUUAGGUUUACUCCUUGUUCGAUGGAAUGAGAAAAAGUACUCGUUGCAAAGUUAUACUGUUAGGGCGCAACUGAGUAGUCUAAUGUUGUUCCGAUUUUUGUUCUUCUGAACGUUGACAUCGAUUUGUUUCAANGUUAAUUAAGAGAAACCAUCUCUCUUUCUCUCUAGUAUCUCCGUUUCUCUCUCUCUCUCUUUUCUUCGAACGAGAGGUUCGGAGAGAGCCAAACCCGUGGUUUCUCUUUUCUCACGUUCAAGUGUAUAUAUAUAUAUAUAUAUAUCUCUCUCUCUCUCUCUCUCUCUCUCUCUCUCUCGUCCCGACGACACGAGAUCCCUCGUGCCUCCGGAGGCACGAGGACUCGGCAAAAGCUACUACCUCAAAGGCUUAGUUGCUAGCCGAGGCAAUUUGAACUAGAUCGCAUAAACUUCAAAGAUCUUUUAUUAAAAACACUAAAAAGCUAUAGUAAAUGGAUCGUUAGCUUUCCUAAGUUUUAGUUAUUAAAAAUUGCCAACUUUUAUUUUUAGGAUAUUUUUCACCACUAUAUCGUGAUUUUAAAAGCUAGUCUUUAUAACUAGAACAAUAUCUAUCAUAUUUCUGAGGAGAAAAUUGGAAUUGCUUGGUGGUGUAGCAAGCUUGGUGGAGAAGAAGGCUUGGAGUUGAAGCUUCAUCUUCAUCUUCUCCUUCCUUGGUCUAAGAGGAAACUUGAGAGGUUUUCUGACGCGCUGGCGAAGUCGGUUCGGCGAUACGACGAGGUUACGCGAAGAUAUUGAAGAAAAGGCCGAUUUCGGUACAGAUUGCCGCAGCUCGUGGCGUAAGCUCCCAAAAAUCACGAAACCGGAAUCGUAGCAUCGUGACAUCACCUAAAGUCUUGGAGCUAAAAAAGUCGGGGGCACGAAGGGUCGCGUGGAGCUCUCGGUGGGUUUGACCUCGCUACAAAUGAGAAAAUCUCAUUUAUGUGGAUUUAAGUAUCGUAAAAUGGAAAAUCACGCAUUUUAAUGAAAAAUGCAUUAUUUGUGAAUUUUAAAAUGCUUGAAAUGCUUAUGUUAUAUACAAUGCAUUUUCGGACCUCUAUGUAGUAGAGAGCUUGCAUGUAAGACUUAUGCAUGGGUUUAGCAUUCUAAUUGGGACUUGGAAUCAUGCUUCAUAUAGUAGACAUGACAAAUGUGUAAUAUGCCUUGGACAUAAAUCUCAUUUGGACAUAAGAGAAUACAUUAGGCCAUAAAGUGGUUUUGGACUUGAAUAACUUGUGAGUUAGGGAGCUAAUGUCGUAAUGCGACAUCGGGCUUGAGCUAUGAAUGAGCCUAGCAAAGUAAUGCCAUAGAGAGGCAUUAGGCUUGAAUGAUAUGUGAAUUGUAUAUGCAUGUUAAUAGUAUGAGAAUUAUGCUAAGUUGGUAGUUGCAUUGGAAAGUGUAUGCAUGUAGCAUUAUGAGAACUAUGCUAUGUUGAUAGUUGUAUACGGAUGCAUUGAAACCAUAUGCUAGUGGAUAGAUGCAUGUUAAUAUUUAUAUGCAUUGUGGAAUACAUGCUAGGUACAUAUUAGCAAUGUGAGAUCAUGCUAGAGAGCAUGCGAAUUAACCUAUUAUUGAUAGGGUAAGCUAAUGUCAUAAAGAGGCAUUGGGCUUGAAAUUUGUAAGGUACAGAACUUCUUAAAUUCUGAAGUUACGGUAGGAUGUAAUAGGUUUUACUCUUUGUUCGAUAGAAUGAGAAAAAGUACACGUUGCAAAGUUAUACUGUUAUGGCGCAACUGAGUAGUCUAAUGUUGUUCCGGUUUUGAUUCUUGUGAACGUUGAAAAUUCGUUCCAAAUUUACACUCUCGGGGCAUAAUAGAACUAUAUAAUUAGGUUUUACUCUUUGUUCGAUAGAAUGAGAAAAAGUACUCGUUUCAAAGUUAUACUGUUAGGGCGCAACAGAGUAGUCUAAUGUUGUUCUGGUUUUCGUUCUUGUGAACGUUGACAUCGAUUCGUUCCAAAUUUACACUCUAGGGGCAUAAUAGAACUAUAUAAUUAGGUUUUACCCUUUGUUCAAUAGAAUGAGAAAAAGUACUCGUUGCAAAGUUAUACUGUUUGGGCGCAACUGAGUAGUCUAAUUUUGUUCCUGUUUUUGUUUUUGUGAACGUUGACAUCGAUUCGUUCCAAAUUUACACUCUCGGGGCAUAAUAGAACAAUAUAAUUAGGUUUUACUCUUUGUUCGAUAGAAUGAGAAAAAGUACUUGUUGCAAAGUUAUACUGUUAAGGCGCAACUGAGUAGUCUAAUGUUGUUCCGAUUUUGGUUCUUGUGAAUGUUGACAUUGAUUCGUUCAAAAUUUACACUCUCGAGGUAUAAUAAAAUAAUAUAAUUAGGUUUUACUCUUUAUUCGAUAGAAUGAGAAAAAGUACUCGUCGCAAAGUUAUACUGUUAGGGGGCAACUGAGUAGUCUACUGUUGUUCCGAUUUUGGUUCUUGUGAACGUUGACAUCGAUUCGUUCCAAAUUUACACUCUCGAGGUAUAAUAGACCAAUAUAAUUAGGUUUUCUCUUUGUUCGAUAGAAUGAGAAAAAGUACUCGUUGCAAAGUUAUAUUGUUAGGGCGCAACUGAGUAGUCUAAUAUUGUUCCGAUUUUGGGGACCGUCCUCUGGCAAGGACCGGUUCCGAACGUUGAAUAUCCCCUUUGCCAGUUUGUGCAGCUUUACGUGGACGGCUCAAAGGGGUCGCUCGCCCGACAAAGGUGACCACCGGUUGGUCCCUCACUGCGAAAAAUACCCAGGGAGGCUGUUUCAAGAAGUGAAAAGUGAGGGUUUUAUGUUGCAUCAAGUGGGUUAUGAGAAGAGGCUAGGCUUGUCCGCCUCUCAUCGCAUCACUUACACUUCAGUGGAUGCCCUUCUUCACGUCGUGAUGUCGUAGUCCUCCAUACUCACGACCUCUGAUGUCUACUCAUCUUCUGGCUCUCUGAAAGGUUAUAACAAAAAAGCAUCAUAUCGGAGGAAAAGAGGAGAAGUAGCAGAAGGCUAGUAGAAUGAUAGAAGGAGACGAGAUAGAGACUGAAAAAGAGCGAGAAAGAGAGGUAUUGACAACUAAGACAGGAAUGAGAAGCAUAUCACGCGAGUUACACUAUUCAUCAUCUCCUCUUGCCCAAAGCUUGGAGCUUGGUAAUGAUGUAAACCUCAACCUUUGAUGUGGUUUCAAUAGGCAGAGGUAGAAGUUUUAUAAUACGAAUAAGCGCGGUUCAAGACUGAACCUUAUUGAGCUGCAUAACUGCCAGGUCGAGAUAUGUUUCGACUCGAAAUCGAAGCUCGCAGCCGGCAGAGUAGUCGUAUCUCAUCAAUGGCCGCAUGAUGCGUGCAUUGUGCUUUUCGAUAGUCUUUCGAGAAUAGGUUGGCCAGAGCAUACUUGAACUGGGCUAUUUAAUUCAAAUUAAUUUCGGCACACCUAAAUUCUAAGGUCCCGAAGUCGUAGGCACAGACGGUGUGUCGCAUUACCGUCGAGUAGCAGUCGAAGUUAUCGCCAAGAGAGACCUUCGGAGCUUCGUGUCCAUGCCUAGAAGGCUAACGGCGUCGAGACGGUUCUAAGGCACGACACAUCGCAAUCGAAGAGCUUCCACAGAAGUCCACCCACCGAGGGGUGGAGCAUCACAGUAAAACCCACCAAAAGUCCUCACCAGGGCGAGAGUGGCGCUACACGAGCUAACCAGAAGGGUGCGGGCGAUCAACAUGGUCGGACUUCACUUUCAUGCUUUAGAUGUCUGAUGUCAUCAUCGAAAGACUUAACUAGUACGAGUUUAUUACAUAUUGUGAUAUAGUCAAUUACUUGACGGAAUUGUCUUAACCAUGGAUUAUCGCUGCAUAUCCUUGCAUGCUAAGGAUGGUAUAGCUCUGCGUUUGUUCAUCAUCGUCAAGACUGAUUUAGUAAAACAUGCAGAGGUGAGCGAUCGUUUGAGAACAGACACCCAAUGAAAAGUCGCCCUAGUCAACUAACGAUAAGAAUUAUUGUUUCAGUAGAUGAUAUAUGAACCUAGUGAUACCUUGGAACACAGUUGUAUUCAAGAACUCUGUCAAGAGAACGAGUGGCCAUCUAGUUAACCUAAACAUGAACGAGUGCAUUAAGUAGCCGGUAGGCAGCGCAAAACCUAAGAAAACUGCCUGCAGCUUGUCGAGAGACUACAUCAGUAUCAGAUAGUGAUGGAUCAGCGCCACCAAUCAAGUUGCUACUACACCGAGGCUAACCUCUCGGUGCCACGAAAUUCCGCCGAGUAUAGAUAUGCCCCCUGUUGAUCAGGGCGAUAUUACGAGAUUAUCAUGACAGAGAUUGAAUCGAGCUCACUUAGCUGCUGUCUUACACCUGUAGGACAGUAAGAAUCCUCGCACCUUCCUUACGAUGCUUUAAGUCGUUACACAACUCCCGGAGUGCUUCUUCGGCGAAGAUAUCUCGCAAGAUACUGGCGGGCCAGUGUAUGCCCUGGAGCCAGUGUAGUGUCCGCUCUCGGAAGAUAGGAUCCGGUCUCCGGGUAAGUGAUAUAGCUAGCCCACUCAUCCCCUAUGCAAGCAUCUUAGACGACGUAGAGGUACACGUAUCAGAUGUCACAAUGAAAACCCGACGGCGAGCGAAACUUGCGUUCGCCGAGAGAUACGAAACUAGAUAUUCCACAGAAUAUAGCCCGAAGAUCCUGUUCAAUCAUGUCCAUGAUGCUGACUCACACUUAGCAUUGUGUUUGAUGGAAGCAUGUAGUCCCGAAAGGCAUCACCGAGACAGCCUAGCAUUCUUACUAUGAGUUGUGCGAAGACAUUCGUAGUGGCAUCCUGAAUUAUGAGGCAUUGUAGUACCUGUGGCGAAUCUAGUUUCUAUGGACCAUCAAUUCACUCUCAGCCCGGAUCUUAAGCUGAAUGGUACCGCUUUCAGUUAAUAUAAUCUAUCUAUCUGCAUAUCUAUCUGUAGCGCGGGGCUAAGACGCUAGUGGGAGGAUCCGAUGCAAUGAGAUCUUCGGAGCAGAUACACGCCAGAACCCACUGGGAAACUAUUCGUAGUUCUCACUCGCACAGAGUACUAUCGCUGCACUGAGGCUGGCUUCCAAAGAAAGGAGACCGUGUUCAAUCUGGGCAGGGGAUACCCCUGUUUCUUACACUGUGACUUUGUUGAGGCGGCUCGAAUCGCCGGAAGGCGUAAGCGCCCUACGGGUUGACAGUGGUAAUCCAGACGAAGAGGGUUUUUCACUUAUUUAAAUAUCAAAUUUUUUCUUGACUUAGCGCCUUAUUUAGAAGACAGGGCAGCACCUCUAGUCGUCUAGGGAGAUCACACCUGGCUCUAUGACCUCCUUUAUCACCCUACCUCAGCUGGCGCCUUCCCUUUACUUCAGCUCCCAGGCAAAGCAAUAUAAGAUUAGUCAUAGCCAUCGAGGAUCGAUGGUGGUUGCCAGACACAGUGAUCUCAUACUGCGGUCAGCACGAGGUCAUCCUGUUAUCUGGUAGUCUAGAGAGUUGUAGGUACGAAUUCACAGACUACAUGGUCAUAUCCAAUGAGUGGUCGCAUUCUUAAUCUUAUGUCUAAUAUACACGGCCGGGCAUUCAACAUUAUUGCCCUAGUAAAGAGAUAUCGCAGCGAAAUAGAGGCUCUAACAUGCUCGGUUAAUAAAUAUAUUAUAAGAAGUUAGCUCGGCAAAAUAGGAUCACCCAUCCUCCGCUCGCAUCGAUAGUAAUGUUGCCUAGUGAAAAACAGUCCAUUAGGUUCGAAUUUUAUUACUACUCAGAUCAGGCUAGAAAAACCCGAUCAUCGUUGUACCAAGAAGUAAAGCGGCGGUGAGUACCAUACGAGCAUAAGUGUAUGCUCAGCUGACAGGCGAGUAAGCAUCAUCCUGCUAGAGGUCGUCUCGAUCUCGAAGUGUACACAUCGAGUGUUUUGCGAGGAAAGACCAAGCUCACAUGCAAAUGAAUGCGAAAUAAAGAGUGGCGAUGCUCUUCACGUACUCGAAAAUGAGCAAUUCUAGCAUCAGAUGAAAUGUUGAAGGUAUGGACAAUACCUCGCAAGACAGUCGCCCACACCAGUGCCCUGCGUGCUGAGUCAGGGCGAAGACCUCUCUGCGCAUCUCCAGAUGCGCUGCCGUGCCCCUCAGUUUGCGCCUCCGUCCCGCGUAAUUGUGGUUGUUAAUUGUUAUGUACCCAGUUCAACGUUGUUCCUUGGAACCUUGUUGCUCACUAAUCUAUGGUUGAGCCUUGGCGACAGAGGAGGCUGUCCGUUCGGCGUCGGUCCGCCCUUCGAGUAGGGGGACCCCGGAGCCACGAAGCAGCUGCAGCUGGGGCUCCGCGGCUUCUGCGGGCGUGCAGGCAUGGGAGGAGACAGGGACUCCCCCUGAGACAUCCGCCACCUCCUAGGACACUGGCUUGCAGGGGAGCCACCUCGCACUGGCCACGAACGGAAACAGUGUCCUCCUCUGCGACCAUUCGCCAUCAACCGCUGAGCUUUGCCGGCAGAUGCACACAACGGUGGAUCGCCCCUCUGCUGAUUGCUCGAGGGCGCACUCUUUGCUCCCUGCUAGAGUGCGCGGAUGCUUUGGCGACCGGUUACUAUUGGAAAGGAGCCGCCGCACGUCUUAGAAUGGGAACGCUUUCUGUUCCCCAUCGCCUCCGAGGCCCUUUGCAGCUCGGACUCUCGUAGACUCGCUCUGGAUGACGAGGCUAUCGUCGCAAGCACUCCGUCAAAACACGUCAUCGUGCCAUGAGAAGCCCAGCAGCAUCCUGAUGUGGGUCUCGAAGCCCUCGCGAAGACUCUCGCCUUGUGCGCUCGUCAAAGUAGGCUCGAAUAGAGAGCAAGGGAUCAGCCUCCACCAUGGCGGAAGACGAAGUCCUGCUCGUAGCUUCAGCUACGGUACGUUCCCACUGCUGAAGAUGUUCUAAAGCUCCGCGCUCCGGCCCAGCCUCCAAAUUUUUGAGUUGUCCCGAAAGAAUUGCUUGGAUUGGAGAUCUCCGGAACUCCCCCCAGGGUUGGGAAAGGACGGCCCAGCUGUGAGCGAGGUAGAUGUCGGCAGCCACCAAAUAGAGCUGCGUCCGCCGGUCCGAGAAAGUGUGCGGCCAAGGACGCGGUACCUGGCUCAUCCGAUGAGUAUAAGUCGCUCUAAAGCUAGGUACUCUCACAAUGUCGGUCAGGUUCGAUGAGCAGGUCGCGUCGAUAGAAACUCCUAGUUCUCUUCCUUCUUACGCUCCACGCGUAUUCUUGCGGGUCGAAUUCCCAUGAACUCAUCCAGCUUCGCACAUGCAUAGCGGGCGCCUCUGCUGCGGGGUAAUUUGCAUCCUCAGCUGGAACCUCUGGUGGUCGUCCGUCGUCGUCGAGCUCAGCAAGCAGAUAAAGAUGGAACGGAGCCGAGGGCCGAGCUACCUAGUGCAGGCGCACCUGAGGAGGUGGUGGACUUCCUACGGAGACUCUAAGAGCAGGCAUGACCCAUUCCAGAACCGGCGGCGUCGGGGAAGGUAGUCGCUUAUAUGGGAACACAGCUCUAGGCGGUGUGCGGCUCGUAAGGACUAGCUGGCAUGAGUGCUGCGUCGGAAACCGCCGCCAUGUGGAAAGGAGUCGUCAUCCUGAAUCCCGUCCCGUCAUCACUGGAGGCUUUAGACCUCGAGUGGUGAGGCUCGAGCUGCUUCGAUAGCAGUGAGUAUCCGCCCUGCUGGAUGUGGAAUGUUUUUUUUUACUUUUCUGGUCGAUCUGCUCACCCUACUCCUGCCCUGCCCCACCUGCCUCUGCCGUUGCUCGGAGGCCUGCUCUUUUCCUAGGAGGCUAAUUGACUAAGAGCCCUCAUGGGCGACGGCGUCCAGAAAGUUUGAUGGAACUAGCUCCCACGAACUCACGGAAGAAGGUGGGUCCGCUACUCCACGAGCCAAUCUGUAACACAAAGCACGCGUCAGCACGAAUAAUCGAGACUCGACCAACUCCGCCUACGGACUUGAGGCCCACAGAAACUUGCACUCACGUGCGCUAUGAGUAUUUCGCCCGUAGUCCUGCCUAUGGGUCAACCUAACCAAUGGUUCAUUUCAUUGAUUUUUCGAAAACCAACCUGUGAAUGGUAGUCUCCCCCUGUAUUUUGAGCACGGUCGUCGUAGCACAAGUACAGAGGAGAUCUGUCCCGUCGUGAAGUGGAUUCCCUGUAAUUGUGCGAUCUGACAUACUCUGGGGUCAGGUAUUUGAGAAAAACAAAAACAAAUUAUUAGUCAUUUCGCGUCAUUUCCAAACGCGCAACAAGGACCUCAGGGGUGACAGAUUAAAGUGGUAUCAGAGCCGGUUCAUCAGCUGGACAUGUGUGGCGAGUCUCGCUAUGAGCCACGGGUCGGAUGACGGGCUAACGAGCGACGUCUUACAUCGCGCUGGUGAUCUUGGGCUGUGUGUGUUGUGGACUCGACAGACGUCAGGACUGCAGCUUAAACGGGGAGUCCUGGUGACACCGCCAUAUCAACAUCGAUGAAAUGGAAGGUGUUGUUUAUUCAGGAGUUGAUAAGCACGACUUAGACACUAGCUAAAUAAUAACUGGCUUAGAGCAUUUGGGGUCUGUGUUGGUAUCAUGGGCCAACGAGUUACUCUUAAUUAAGCUUAGUGAAGCUUGGGCCUGGUCGUUACAUUGGUAAUCAGUCAAGUCGAAUUCUUUCAGCUCAUCGAAGCUACUGCUAGACACCGUCGAUUUGUUCAUGAAGUUAUUGUCGUUUCGAACUGCGAAUGAUGACCUGUCGUUCGGAUUCAGUAAUACCGAUUUUGCUGGGAGUCCACCGGGUUAUACCCAAAGCUCUCCGAGCUUUGCCUCAAUGUAAAGCUUGUGAAGCGGUGUGCGAUUUUGGAGAAGGCUGCAACGAAUCGCAAGAUAAUACCUGCACUGCGCCAAACCCUAGAAAAACUCCGGACUUGGUCACCGAAAGUUUUGGUUCAAGACCAGCUACACCACGCGAGGCUAUCUUCUUCGGGUCCGACCGAAUCCACGCCGGAGUAGAAUAUGCCGUCUCUCAAGAAUGACCACGUAGCGACGUCACGGAGCAGAAAUCCACUUCUUGAGCUUAGCGUUACAACUGUGCCGCCGCUGAAGUAUCUGGCAAUUAGCUCUGUCGCGAGAUGAUCCUCAGGUGCUCCCUACAAUACUCCGCGAGUAGAUCAGGAGUCAUCAUGAAACCGACGACAGACACUGAUCCAGAUAAGCUCGGAAGCCCUGUCAUUCAUGUCGCAUAGAAGGCUGCGCGGAGGAUUGGUGAGCCCGAAAGGCACACCGUGAACUCGUAGUGGCCGUAACGAGUCCGGAAAGGCGGUCUUUCGGCACAUCCUCAGCCCGGAUCUUUAAGCUGAUGUAGCCUCCCGACCGCAAGAUCAUCCUUGGAGUUAGCACCGACGAUCCUUUGACAAGGCUGGUCAUGGUACGAAGCCUGAACUUUCCAGUACGCGCUUUCUCAUCUUUAGAGUGACGGUCAGGUCCAGAGCGACGUGCAUCCAGACUUCUUGUACGACAUGCUCUGGCGCAGAUCGCGUCUGGAUUACGGUGGAUCGGAUGGUCUCGGUAUUACCGUUGGUGGAGUUUCGCGACUAUAAUAAACAGCUUUCAGGGUCGACAUCGGGAUGGCACCAUACCGAGGCGUCUGUUAUGGGCGUUCGAUGUCGUUCUCAGCUAUCUGCUUGGCACGCAUGUCGAAGACCGCCGGUUAGUUAGGACUACUAGAUUUAGUAGGAGACGCCACAUGAGGCAAGAUCCGCAUUGGGCGAGAGAGCGGCUUCAGACCUGCAACAGAUAGAAUCCAAGGGGCGACUAGCGCGGCCCAGGCGGAGGCCGGAACCUAGAGUUUCAGUCGUGAGUCAUGUGCUGCUCAAGUGUCGCCUUCCAGGAUCAAUACGGUUUGUUUGCGGAACAAGCUUAUCGCGCUGGUUUCGGUGGGACCCGUUCUGAGAUCCUACGAGCUGCGUUGGUCCGGUGGGCUUACCAGAUUGCUCUCAUACCGCAGUCUCGCCCGAGUGCAGCAACGUUUUUUCACGUGUCCCAUGCUUCGGAUACCACAUCCCGAUCCGUCCCCACAUCAUUCAGUCGACACGCAUUCAGCUAUGCGGGAGGAUCUCGAGCUAUGCAGUGAGGCUCCCGUUGCACGAUCCUGGUCACGUGAGGUGAACGCAGUUGCCGGAAUAGGAGCAUAUCCGUAUUCAAGGUCCAGUGGAGGAGAAGCGCGACGAGAGGGCUGCGCCUGAGGCUACUGGGAGCUUGAAUGCGUCAUGGCGGUCGAUCAUUAUCCACAGUUAUUUUGCGAGGGACGUCCUUGUNNNNNNNNNNNNNNNNNNNNNNNNNACUAAUUAUAUAGUUCUAUUAUGCCGCCGGCGCAAUUGUUAUAUAUUUGGAACGAUCUUAAAUUUACAAGAACCAAAUCGGAACAACAAUUAGACUACUAAGUUGCGCACCUAACAUAUUAACUUUUGCAACGAGCACUUAUUUCUCAUUCUACAAACAAAGAGUAAAACCAUUAUAUUGCUUAUUAUGCCUCGAGACAGUGUAAAUUUGGAACGAAUCAGAAACUUGUCAACGUUCACAAGACAACAAACAUGGACGAAAAUUAGCACUACUCAGUUUGCGCGCAACAGUAUAACUUUUGAACGAGUAUUUUUCUUCAUUGAUCAAUAGAACAAAGAGUUAAAACCUAAGUAUAUUAUUUUUUAUACCUCCAUUCGUGCUAAAUCGUAGAACGAGGUCAAUGUCAACGUUCACAAGACCAAAAUCGGAACACAUAGACUACUCAGUUGGCACCAACAGAUAUGAACUUAUGCACACGAAUACUUUUUUCUAAUUCUAUCAACAAAGAAGUAAACCCCAUAUUAUAUUGUAUCUUAUGCCCCAGAGUGUAAAUUUGGAACGUAACCAGAUGGCAAGGUUCACGUAAGAACAAAAAACAGGAACAAAAUUAGAUACUAGUUGCGGCCAAAAAGUCUAACUUUGCAACGAGUAUUUUUUCUCAUUUCUAUUAUCAGAAAGAGGUAAAACCUAAUUAUAUAGUUCUAAUUUGCCUGGAGUGUAAACUUGGAACGAAUCAGAUUCGUCAACGUGAUUAAGAAGAAAAACCAGAAAACACAUUACACUACUCUGGUUUGCAGCACUAACAGUAUAACUGCGACGUAGUACUUUUGUCUCUUUCUAUCGAACAAAAAGUGAAACCUAAUUAUCAUUCUAUUAUGCCCGGGCGAGUGUAAAUUGUGGAAGAUCUUCAACGUUCACAAAAGAACCAAAUCGGAACAACAUGAGCACUACUCAUUGCGACCUAACGUUAUAACUUUGCAACGAGUACUUUUCUGAUUUCUAUCAACAAAGAGAUAAAACCUUUAAUUAUAUCGAUAUCUAUAGUCUCGAGAGUGUAAAUUGGACGAUAUCAGAGUCAAGUUCAGAAAGAAUCAAAGAUUCGGCGAAGAACAUUAGAUACUCAGUUUUGGCCCUAACAGUUAUACUUAAUGCAACGAUCUUUUUCUACGUUCUAUCAAACAAAGAGUAAAAUACUAAUUAUAUUAUUUAUUAUACGCUCGAGAGUGUGAAUUUGGACGAAGGUCAUAUCAACGUUCACAAGAACCAGCCGGGAGACCGGUCCUUGUCCGAGAGACCGGUUCCCGAGAGCAAUACUUUCGGGACUUAGCCAAAUUUCGGCUUCUCUCGCUGGGCCAACGUUCGGGAACCGGUCCCUGCCUGCUAGGGACAGGUCUCAUCAGAGACCCCCGCAGCCCAGCCUGAUGGGACCGGUCCCUCCCUGCCAGGGACCGGUCCCCGAGAGCAUUUCUUCUCCAGUGCAGCUUUUGCACGGGUGCUCUCGCGGACACCUCCUCAAUGCACCUUAUGCAUUGUGAUCACCUUCGGACUUUCCGAAGCUUGCACGCACGACAACCAGUCGAUCUUUGACGAAGUCUAAUCCUCGAGUUUCGAGAAUUCACUUCCCUUACACUCUCCCCACUUAAAAGAGUUUCGUCCUCGAAACGAACUCAACAAUAUUAAAUUCAUCCAGAAUACUCAUACCUCGGUGGCUCACUCAAACAAGUGAGGAUGAUUCGCUCUCAUCUCCUCCUCGAGCUCCCAGGUGGCUUCGCGGUCAGCAUGAUUGCUCCACUCUCAGGGCAUAAUAGAAUAAUAUAAUUAGGUUUUACUCUUUGUUCGAUAGAAUGAGAAAAAGUACUCGUUGCAAAGUUAUACUGUUUGGGCGCAACAGAGUAGUCUAUUGUUGUUCCGGUUUUCGUUAUUGUGAACGUCGACAUCGAUUCGUUCCAAAUUUACACUCUCGGAGUAUAAUAGAACUAUAUAAUUUGGUUUUACUCUUUAUUCAAUAGAAUGAGAAAAAGUACUCGUUGCAAAGUUAUACUGUUUGGGCGCAACUCAGUGGUCUAAUUUUGUUCCGGUUUUUGUUCUUGUGAACGUUGACAUCGAUUCGUUCCAAAUUUAUACUCUCGGGGCAUAAUAGCACAAUAUAAUUAGGUUUUACUCUUUGUUCGAUAGAAUGAGAAAAAGUACUCGUUGCAAAGUUAUACUGUUAGGGUGCUACUGAAUAGUUGAAUGUUGUUCCAAUUUUGAUUCAUGUGAACGUUGACAUCGAUUCGUUCCAAAUUUACACUCUCGGGGCAUAAUAAAAUAAUAUAAUUAGGGUUUACUCUUUGCCCGAUAGAAUGAGAAAAAGUACUCGUUGCAAAGUUAUACUGUUAGUGUGCAACUGAGUAGUCUAAUAUUGUUCCGGUUUUUGUUCUUCAGAUCGUUGACAACGAUUCGUUCCAAAUUUACACUCUCAGGGCAUAAUAGAACAAUAUAAUUAGGUUUUACUCUUUGUUCGAUAGAAUGAGAAAAAGUACUCGUUGCAAAGUUAAACUGUUUUGGGCGCAACUGAGUAGUCUAAUUGUUCCGUUUUUGUUCUUGUGAACUUGACAUCGAUUCGUUCCAAAUUUACACUCUCGGGGCAUAAUAGAGAAUAUAAUUAUGUUUUACUCUUUGUUCGAUAGAAAUGAGAAAAAGUACUCGUUGCAAGUUAUACUGUUAGGCGCAACCUGAGUUGUCUAAUGUUGUUCCGGUUCUUGGUUCUUGUGAUACGUUGAAAUCGAUUCGUCAAAUUUAUUACACUCUUCGGGGGGCAUAAUAGAAGCUAUAUAAAUUAUGGUUUUAAGCUCUUAAUUCGAUUUUUAGAAAAGAGAAAAAAGUACUACGUUGCAAAGUUAUAGCCUGUUAGCACGCCAACAGAGUAGUCUUAAUUUGUUCCGGUUCACAAAGAACGAAAACCGGAAACGAACAUUAGACUAUCGGUUUUCGUUCUGUGAACGUUGACAUCGAUCGUUCCAAAAUUUACACGCCUUUGGGGCCAUUAAAUAGAACAUGAUAAUAUGUUUUAUCCUUUGUUUCGAUGCGUAGAAUGAGAAAACGUACUCUGUUUCACAAAGUUAUAGCUGUUUGGGGCCGCCCCCCCAACUGAGUAGUACUAAUUUUGGUUACCCGGAUUUUGUUCUUAUAGUGAACUGUUGACAUAACGAUUCGUUUCCGUCCUUAUAACUAUUGAAUUUAAGAGGAUUUAGACUCCCUUUUCGCUCAUGAGGGACCAANNNNNNNNNNNNNNNNNNNNNNNNNNNNNNNNNNNNNNNNNNNNNNNNNNNNNNNNNNNNNNNNNNNNNNNNNNNNNNNNNNNNNNNNNNNNNNNNNNNNNNNNNNNNNNNNNNNNNNNNNNNNNNNNNNNNNNNNNNNNNNNNNNNNNNNNNNNNNNNNNNNNNNNNNNNNNNNNNNNNNNNNNNNNNNNNNNNNNNNNNNNNNNNNNNNNNNNNNNNNNNNNNNNNNNNNNNNNNNNNNNNNNNNNNNNNNNNNNNNNNNNNNNNNNNNNNNNNNNNNNNNAAAUUUACACUCUCGGGGCAUAAUAAAAUAAUAUAAUUAGGUUUUACUCUUUGUUCGGUAGAAUGAGAAAACGUACUCGUUGCAAAGUUAUACUGUUAGGGCGCAACUGAUUAGUCUAAUGUUGUUCCGUUUUUCGUUCUUAUGAACGUUGACAUCGAUUCGUUCCAAAUUUACACACUCGGGGCAUAAUAGAGCAAUAUAAUUAGGUUUUACUCUUCGUUCGAUAGAUUCAGAAAAAGUACUCGUUGCAAAGUUAUACUGUUAGGGCGCAACUGAGUAGUCUAAUGUUGUUCCGGUUUUUGUUCUUCUGAACGUUGACAUCGAUUUGUUCCAAAUUUACACUCUCGAGGCAUAAUAGAACAAUAUAAUUAGGUUUUACUCUUUGUUCGAUAGAAUAAGAAAAAGUACUCGUUGCAACCUUAUACUGUUUGGGCGCAACUGAGUAGUCUAAUUGUCACGCCCCGCGACCAACCGCCGAUUUGGACCGGGUCGCGGCGCCGCCGACAGACCGCCGAACGGACCGGGAAUUCCCCUGUAUGCGGACAGGGUCUCCCCAGUACGUCCAAGGCGUCGCAAUCCAAACAAUCAACGAAUAUUCCAACAAGA